CUUAACACUGCUGUUCCAAACAGGCACACAGUUACAUUUACAUUGUUUUGGGUGGACUUCUUUUGAAUUGCAAUUUAAAGCGGACUCAGGACUUGCGAGUCCACAGGUCUGAUGCGUGCCAGGUGCAGAUAUGAAGGGGAAGCUGCUGAACCGUUUGAAAGUGCUGCGAAACGUCAAGGUGGCAGGUUAGAGUGAAGGUGAACGGCUGGAAAUGGAAAGGAGUCGACAGCUCCAAGUUUGUGUCUACUUCGUGUCGCCUUGUAUUGUUAUUUAGACGCCUCGCUGCUCAGAAGACUAAAGAGGUAGCCAUAAUCUAACAAACCACACUGUGGAGAAAGAAAGAAUUAGAAGAGCUGCUGCAACGGAGAAAUUAAGCAGGAAUAUGAAGGUUUGUAAAGUCGUAGAUGUAUUCUUCUAACAAUUUCAACUUUCAAAACAAAUUCAUCAGAUAAGGACACAUUUGCUACAGUUAAUUACAACGUCCAAGCAAGGAUGUUGCACAAUCUCCUGUCUUUAAGACAAAGGUAUUUGGUGCUCAGAGACAUGGCCCAGGUAAGGAAGGCUGAAACAUGACCGUCACUUAACAAGACUCAUAAGUUGAAACAUCAAGGCUGGGCUAAGACAUAUCUGAGGACAGAUUUUUCAAAGGUUUUAUGGACACAUGAAAUGAGACCGACUCUUGACAGACCAGAUGGAUGGACGGAUCAUCAAUUCACGCAGAGCUCCCCUUGGAGUCAGAUGUCAAGGUGUAGGUGGGGUAUGGGCUGCUAUUAUUAAGGAUAAGCAAGUUGGACCUUUUCGGAUUGAAGAUGGACUUAAGAUCAAAUCCCAAACAGCUCCAACUGGUGUGAUGAUUAAUUGCUUAGUUGUCAAAUAUUUUAAAAAUUGUUCACUGUUUUGAUGAUCAUCCAUCCAUCCAUCCAUUCUCUAUACACCGCUUUAUCCUCAUUAGGGUCACGGGGGGAUGCUGGAGCCUAUCCCAGCUGACUCGGGCGAAGGCAGGGGACACCCUGGACAGGCCGCCAGUCUGUCGCAGGGCUACAUACACAGACGAACAAUCACACUCACAUUCACACCUACGGGCAAUUUAGAGUAGCCAAUUAACCUCAGCAUAUUUUUGGACUGUGGGAGGAAGCCGGAGUGUCCGGAGAAAACCCACGCAUGCUCAGGGAGAACAUGAAAACUCCAUGCAGAAAGAUCCCAGGCCCACCCCGGGAUUCGAACCAGGGAUCUUCUUGCUGCAAGGCGAAAGUGCUAACCACUACACCACUGAGCAGCCCGUUUUGAUGAUCAAUCGUUUUGAAAAGAUAAAAACUCAAUUUCUGUGAUGCCUAUUCUGAAAUUUGAUUAUUUUCUGGUUUCUCUCCAUCGCUGUGAAAGCAAACUCAAAAUCUUGGGACUUUGGACACAACAAGGAUGUUUGAAGACAUUUGAGGAGAUUUUCUUGGGAUUUUCAUCAACAAUACCCUCCACCUUCUGACAUUUUGUUAAUCAAACAACUAGUUGAUUAACCAAGAAAAUAACAGAGAUUAAUCAACAAUACAAACAAUCUUUGCUUGUGGUUCUAAUUACCAAGCACUGCAAUAGUUUUCUGAUGGCUUUAAAGUCAAUCUGUGGCUACCUGCAGACUUUUCUACCAGUGGCUGCAUCUAUAAGGUGACAUUCAAGUGAAAUGAUCAAACAUGAACACUCAAAAUCUUACCUUGUGGCGUCUUCACGGAUUAAACUGUUGACUACAUGAAUGAUUUAAAGCUAAGCUGCUGCAUUGUAGGAGAACAUCCUAUUUAUCUUAUGGACAUAAAGCCUCAUGUUUUCACUUUUCUGACAGGCAGAUGGAGAAACCUGUAUGAGAAAAUACACCGAACAUAGCAGAGGCUGCCGCUUGUAUAGAGGAGGGGUCACUUUAGGUCACCGACACGUAAAAACAUCAGAAACGCUGUAAUCUAACAGACACGGGGGAAAAAACGAACAUGUGCUUUUGUUGCAGAUCAGAAAAAAUACGGCAGCUCACAAAAAUAGUUGAUGUUAUUUGUGCGUGUACAAAAGUGUGUUUGUGUGUUGUUCAUGAGCCUAACACAGCGUGCUGUGCAGAGAUGAGCGGCCCGUCACUCAGCAGGCAUCAGGCCGUGGAGGUCACACCCCAACAGUUGCGGGAAGAAGAGAUUAUGCCUGUGUGUACUUGUGUGUGUGUCUGUGUGUUUUCUAAAAAGCAGAGAUUAUGCAUUGUGAUAUCAAACUGGGUUAACGUAGCGGACUGUGUUUGCAUACAGGGGUGCCACGGACUCGCGGGUUUUAGCUUUAAUCCCCACACACACUGAAUCCUCACCGGCUGAUUUGGCACUUUUUCAGAGUAUUAGGCCACCAGGCGAGGAAGCUUUGUUUACCCAACAGACAAGUCAUCAUGUUUAAUAAAAUCCCGACUAACCUCCAUUUUCCUCUCCUUUCUCCUGUGCCACUUGUAUGGGAAUGUUGCUUUCACCUUGGUCAACUUCAGUGACACUGAACUCUUGUUUAUCCAUUUUUCUGUAUCAUGUCUCAAAAGACAUGUGGUCCGUCCUGCAAGAUGAAGACAAACAAAGAAUAGAUACCGAAUUUCUUAAAGUAAUCGGUCAAAUUUAUGGAAAUCUCUUCUAUAUUUUGAGUUAACAUAAGCAAAGACAAGCUGUACAUUUACAAUAAAGUUCAGCCUUUGAAACUUUAUUUUAAAGUAAGCUGCAUUCUUCAUUACGUUUUGGUGGAAACCAAACGUUCCUAGUAUUUGCAAAUAUAUUUUUAAUCAACCCAUCUUUUCCAUCUAUAGGUACAACUAUACAAUCAAUAUCUAGCAUCUAUUAUACAUUAGAUGGGGAGGGAUUCAUCACAUUGCUAACACAAAUUGUAGAAGAAGUUCCAAACAUGGAGUGAGAUUGUCGUAUUUUACCCCAAACAAUGAAUAUUUUCCUAAACCUAACCUCACAUGUAGUUAUCAAAUGUCAAAGUACCAACCAAAGCGAAAUAUUUUUGUAAACCUAAAACAUAUAUUUUCAGUGGCUAUACCCAACCAGAAAGCAACAAUAAAUGAAAACAAAAAGUUAAAGGAUCAAAAUUUGAGUCUCCAUGAGUGAAAGUCCAAUGGCUGACUCUACCUGGAAGGUUUUCUUAUGAUGUCACAGUUGAGAAAAUGCUGUGUAAUGUUAUGUUUCUCUCAAAGUUUAACUGAGAAAGAAGUUUUGUUGUAUGGGAACUUAGUGGAGGUUGACAUACAGCACUCAACUGUCUUCAUGCGUUGGAGUUUUCUUCUGAAAUGGUCUAAAAAUGCUCAUCUGGAAGCAAAAAGCUUAAACUUUAAAAUAAAACCUGAGUAGUGUGGAUGUAGUCUCAAUGAAGGCCAUUAUUAGUUUUACGGUUGGCUUAUUGUAAAGGCAAUGCAAGUGUCAGUAUGUCAAGUAAACAUUGUAUGCUGACCUUUCUAAUCAAUAGAAGCAGAAGUCUUCACUCCUGUACACUGUUCAAGAGUGUAAAAUCUUCUGAUUUCAAUGCCCAACUUCGAUUUGCUAUUCACCUUUUGUAAUGCUGUGGAAAUGACCGUAUGAGGGCUACUUCUUACCAGUAGCAAACUAAAAAGCACAGUAGAUCUGUGUGGAAAUUAACUAAAGAGAUUAAAUAAUAGAUUAAAAUCAAUAGGAAAAACAUCACUUCACAGUUGCUUUGAUUAAUGGUCUCUCCUGGAAUGAUAAAUUAAACUUGAAAACUUUCUGUACACAUUAUUAACCCCCCAUUUUCUAACUCAUUUAAAAAGCUGCAGGCUUAUUUCCCAUUAUGUUGAUAAUAUGGGUAUGGUUUGCCAAAACUCUUUGUGCUAAUUGUGUGUUGGUUCAAAAAGCCAUUUUCUGUUAGAGUGCACAAAUCCAUUACGACCUCCUCCUUAGCCCGGAUAAUGGAGAUUGGAUUAAUGCAGGGGCUAAAACAUGUGGCCCGGGACUCCUAAAGAUAUGAUUGAUCAUCUUACUGCUGAGUAUUCAACCGGUUUGGUUGUGUUAAUCGAUACCAUUACCUCUUUUGGAUUAAACAGCAGUCUGUUAACAAACCCAGACUCAAAGAGAGACGUGAGAAUGGCAGCAGAUAGUUAUCGUAGCUAACACACAUUCCAACCACUAGAUCGUCUAUCACUACAUUUACAGCAUUCUGAUAGGAAGAUUCCCAACAUCAAGGGACAUAUUUAGGGCUCUAAUCAAAUAGUUUAUCAGGGUACAAUGAUGAGUAACCAAAGAGACCUACAACUGAUGGACAUUUCCAAAAACUGUGAAAAUCUUGAUGUCAAAACUUAAAAUAGCACAAACUCCAACACAAAACCCAACUGAAAUGCCUUUGCUGAUGUUAAUGAGUUGAUAGCCCUUUACUUAUGACAUGUAACCCUUGGUUUUACCCAAACAGUCCUUAUAUCUCUGGACUUUAAUAUCUAAAUAAUGAUAAAAAGCCAACAUAAGAAUCGCAAGACCAGUAAUAACUGCAAAGUAUAAGCGAUAUUAGGUCAACACCAAGACAAAUUUCUAAUCUUUUGUCAUGUUUGUCCAUUGACAGGAAUCAGAAACAGUGUCUCAACCAUUUUAGAUGGUCUGGAUAACCUGCAUUAACAGGAGUGCACAGAAAACACACAUUAACUUAAAUAUCUAAGAUUCACAUCAAUAUCACCUUAAUUUGUUUGCGACUCAUGGCUUUUGUCAGUCGAUUUAAAUGUAUUCAUGUUUUCUAUUUUCUGAGUAGCCAAGUAGUUUGUGCUGUCAGUAGUGGAGUCUGCAAUUAUUGUGUUUGUCGUGGAGAAGCAAAAGUUGAAAUAUUACAUAUAAGUGUUUGAAAGAGGAAAUAUUUUUGCAUCAGUACAUGUACAAUAACUACAGCAGGUUACAAAAAUAUGUUUUAUAGUUGGCUUUACAUAUAUCUCUAAUUUGCUAAAAUGCUUUUUUAUGAUCUCACCAAUUGACAAAAAGUGUAAUUUAUUACAAAACUGCAGGUGUUGCUUAAUUAUGAUGUUCUUAGUGUCAGUAGCUUUGAGUGUGGGAAUAUCAAUUUGAUAUUUUUAUGUCUUCCUGCCAAGGCUUCACACAUGAUUAAAAACAGAAAACUGAACUGCUAAAUGUGCAUUAUAAGAAUAAUUUCAACAAACAUCCUUGCCAUUUACUUGCACAGCUUUGGGAUAAAUGUCCAGGCUCAGAUUGUAACACAAUAAUUUUGUAUGAGAAUAUCAGAAAUAUUUUAUUUAUUUGUUGCUUCAAUGUAUCUGAUUCAGAUGUGGCCUCUAUUAAAAUGCAUACAACCUUG